AUGUCAGUCACAAAUCUCUCUAAACUUAGUGACAAUCCUGAGGCAGAGACUGUCACCAGGCCUCAGCAAAACCCUCCACUGUGCAGUUCUCCUCUGCAAAACACAGAUGGUCCACAAGAAGUUCAAGUAACAUCAGAUGUUCAUCCAUCAACAAGUAAGUGUCCACAACAAAAAAUUCAAAACCCACCUCGUAAAAGCCAGAGGUCAAGAACCUUAACUGAAAAGGGAAGAGGAAUGUUAAACCAAAGGAUUAAGGAGUUGGAGCAAAGUUUUAAGAUCAAGUAUGAAAAGUGGAAGGUUCUAGCAAAGGAUGCUAACCAUUCAAUUUCUGACAAUUGUUCAGAUGAAGAGCUGCAAGCAAUAAUGAACAACAUUAACACUGCUUCCAGCGAACUAAACACAGCAUAUGAAAACUGGCAUCAGGUGGACAUUCCUGAUAACAAUGCACGCCGCAGAAUUGAUACUUGCGAGGAGGUAACAAGAACUGUUAUUAAGACUGCACAAAGACGUUUGAGAGGAAAGGCACCAGUCAAACCACAGUUUAAUGUAAAUGAAUCUGUUUUAAUGUCUGAGAAAUCAUAUGGCGUCAGUAAGCACUCACAGGUUUCCAGUCAAUACAAACAGUCACACACUGCAUCAAGAGUCGCUUCUAAGUCCUCCAGUGCGUCAUCCGUGAGCAGACAAGAAGCUGCUGCUAAAAUCGCUGCAGCCCAAGCAACAUUGGAAAUUCUACAUGAACAACAGUGUCAGCAAGCAGAGCUUCUGCAGCUGGAAGCAGAAGAUAAAAGACAGAUUGCAGAACAAACAGCUGAAGCCUGUAGACGACGUUUAAGAAUGGAGGAUGAAGAAGCACAGUUUCAAGCAAAACUUGAGAUUGAAAAUGCUGCCAGGCGAAAGGUUUUGGAAGACAAACGCAAGGAACUGGAACGAUUGGAAGCACUCAAACAGUUAAGGGUGGCUAAGGCAACCAUGCAAGUGUAUGAGCAAAAGCAAGAUGAAGACUCAGAAGAAGAAAUUAAGCAGUUACUGCAUGAAUGUAAAACUGAAAGCCAAAGGGAAGGGGACCGAUUUCAGCACACAAGUCACAUACGUAACUCACCAGAGUUACACUUACCACAACAAGCUGUUAUACAUCCACAGCAUGACGGUGGCAUCGCAGCACUUGCCAUGGUAUUAGCAGAUUCUAUUAGUGCCAGUCGUCUUCCUAUGCCAGAGCCGACAACAUUUAGUGGUGACCCGCUAAAGUAUAAGAACUGGAAGGCUGCCUUUCAAACUUUAAUUGAAAGAAAAAACAUACCAGCCUCUGAGAAAAUCUACUAUUUGUGCAAGUAUGUUAGUGGACCAGCUAAGAAGGCUGUUGAAAACUAUUUUCUGUUAGGCACCGAGGCUGCUUAUAAGGCAGCAUGGGAAGUCUUAGACGAGAGAUUUGGAAACUCCUUUCUUAUUGCCAAAGCCUUCAGAGACAAACUCAGUGCAUGGCCCAGAAUUGGCUCCAAGGACAGUUUGGAACUUCAGGAAUUUGUGGACUUUCUACGGAGCUGUGAAGCUGCGGAAAGCCAGAUUAAAGGUCUAGAGGUUCUUAAUGAUUGCAAUGAGAAUCAAAAAAUCCUCUCCAAGCUCCCCGACUGA
rnacentral:lncRNA from 1 species